UUAAAUAAUUCAUAUCUUUGUAUUUAUCACAAGAUGGCCUUUUAAUGGAAGAAAUAUUCCUUCAAUUGAAUGGACUGAUAUAAAAAGGACCCUCUUACCCUUUGAGCAUAGCGCUUGCGUCGGCGUCCUCGGGGAUGCGUCUCAUCAUCCCACAGUUUUCCAGAGCCAUGCGGUCUAGCAGGCGAUAAUCCACAUCGUUCCCCAUCCCGAUGGUGAAGAUGCAGAACUUCUCCUGCACGGCGGAGCGAGUGUUUCCCAAAAUCGCUGUAGACUUGAUUUCCCCGACUGUCGGCCGUCCAUCCGUCAGGAAAAUAAUGAGGGAGACGCUGUUCUGGCUAGAGUCAGGACUUGAGAGGUACUCACGAAGCAGAUUGGCGCCAGUUUGGAUGCCACCAUCGAUAUUUGUGCCUUUAGUGAGGAGACGUCAGGAGAAAUUAUGGCUCAAGAAAAAGAACAAGGAUUGGAGGUACAGUCAAGAAGAUGAACUUGAACAUUUAGAGGCCAAGAUGUCACAAAAACCCUUUAAUAAGUCUUUAAACUGCAUUCAAUGCAGAUCCAUUUUCUGUAUUAGUAUUUAAAUGUAAUCUGUUUACAACGCAAUCAAACGUGUAGGGACUGUGAAGAAGAAGGAAAAACUAAAAAGAUAAUAAUGACCUCCAGUUGGAACCAGCAUGUAAAUAAACUUCUUGGCAUCUCUGAUGUUUAGUGGCGUCACCGGUACGAGGCGAUUCGGCUGCCACACUUUGAUCCUGUUGGAGAAGCUGAGGAAGUUGAAGCGAUCUCCAGGUCGCAGAUCCUUCAGAAUGGUGAACAGAGCAUCUUUAGUCUGAAAAAGAAAGAGAAAUAAUUCAACCUCACUCAAAAGAAGACUAGGGUUUUUGACACUACAUUCCAUAAACUUUAUGUUGAAUUAAAUUUGAGAACGCUUGCAUCCAUAUAAUGGUGAACUCAUAGCAUGGUUGUAGCUACUCUUUGGUCAUGCAACUUUUGUAUCUGUUCAGUGCAUUUGAAUAGGUUGUAUUUGCCAUUUUUUUCUGGCCAUUUAGAUGGAUCGUUAUCCUUGCAUUCAUGAAACAACCCCAAGAAAAUGAUGCUGUAGCCUGCAUUAGUUAUGUUUUCUUAUUUAAGAAACCCACCCUAGAGGUUUUUGAUUGUUUGUUGAUGAUUCAACAUUAAAUCUUUUUAAAGGCCUACUGAAGUGCAGCACUACACACCACACAGUCUAAUAGUACAUACACAACUGAAUAACAUAUUUCAUUGCAACCGAUGUCAUUGCGGUCGAAUUAACGGAGUAAUUAAUAAUUAAAAAUUGCGCGCCAGGAAAUCUCAGAAAUGUUUUAAAUGUGUCUGUGUAAAAACUAAAUAAAACAUGAAAAGUAUACAGACUUCUUGCUUCUUUUCUGUUAUGGAGCUUCUCAAUGUCAGCAUCUCUGCAGCAUUGAGCGUGGGUGAUAUAUAAUUUGGCGCUGGGGGGUUUAAAAUGUCUAUAUGGGCUAUACAGCAGGGGUCAGAACCACAGACUGACCCACACUGAAACCCUCUAUUGUGGAGCCACAUCAAAACACACUUGUUGUUCUGUUCCUGUGGCUCGCUGGGGGUUGGCAAAGGGUGGGGGAUUGGAUCAAGGGGUCGAGGGUGCUGUUGUCUAAAAAGUUCCAUUACCCCAUAGACACUGACCUUCCUCCCUCACAACGCGGCCUUGUGCUGUAUGUUUCCACUUUACUUUCUCACUGAAAAUCUUUCUUUUUUCUUUUUUCUCUCCUCUGCUCUGUUUCUGCGCUCAUGGCAGCAGCAGAGAUCAGCUCUUAGUCUCACCGAGGGGAUUAUCGUGCUAUUGCAGAUGGAGGAAAAAGGUUGGAUAUUGAUAUUCCAGUGUGGGAGGGAGGAGGUAGGGUGUCAGGUUUCUGAUCUGAUACAUCCAUUGAAAUUCCGCUUAAAGACAGAGUCAAUCUGUACAUUGGAGGCAAUACCUUCACUCAGGAAAAGUAAGCUGAAACUUUUUUCUGUAAAAGAUUAGGCUUUAGUUUGAAAAUACACCAAAGGUUUCAGCCUUAAGCGUGGAUGCAAUAGUUUCCCGAAAUUCAAUUGCUUCAAUAAAUGUACCUUAAGAAAAACAAAAAACUAUGUAGCCUUAAAGGUAAGAGAAAAGCAUUUAUUAAAUCUAUGAUAUUUAAAAUAUGCUGGGAGUGUUUAGUAAAUUGGCUACAACUGGCGAAAACAGAGGAUCUUAAAAGAGUAAAAUCCCAAAGCGUUCUCCUGUGUAAGAGUGGAAACCCUACACAGAUCACUUAAGAUAAACAACAUUUGUUAACACAUUCCAGCAGCUUUAACUUCCAACAGAUUUCUAGAUAACCAUUCUGAGUGUGCUGCUUUACCUGUCGGAUCUUAGUCCCCACCAUGGAGGCACUGGUGUCGAUCACAAAUACCACAUUCUUGGGCACCGCCGGCAGGUCUUUGGGGGCGAAGUAGUGGACAAAGUGGCCGUUUAAAACCUAGGAAAAAAGAGGUUUAGAGACAUGCAACAGGCAGUGAGUUGCAUAAGGUGGGUUUGAUUAGAAUAGUUUGGUUUUGCAGACACAGAGAAGUGUUUGGCAGCGAAGUGAUGGCGGUGGCAAGAAACCUGAGAGCUGAAUCACUAACAGGUGGCUGGAGGAGUGUGUGUGUGUGUAAAGUUGGACGGGAAUUGUGUGUGCACUUGCAAAAUGUGAAAGCUAAUGCUUUUUCAAUCUGCUUUUCAUCAUCGAAAUGUCUGCUUAUCUUUGUGUCUAUAAUGCAGAGUGUAUUAGGGGAGCGUGGUGCACCUGAAUGUCUCCUAUCCCCAACUCUCUCUGCACAUCGUAGCGGAUCACAAAGUCUCCCAGAAUGCCAUUGGUGGUGAUCUUGGCCUGUUGGACGAUGUUGGGACCGAAGAUACGGUGUUGGUGCUCUUGCCAUUGCGCAGCGGCAGCACCUGGAGGUGGGUGAUGGGGGAAUGGUCCACGAUGGUGACGUCCACGCUGAGCCGGCUGACCAGCUGUAGCGGCCGAAGGCUCGUCACGUGUUCGUAGUGUCCUAGCCGCCGCUGCAGGAGCUCCUCAUACGUCAGCAGGAAUACGGCCCGGUUCCGACCCGGGAUGCUGGCCGCCAUCCUGAACACCUCCAACUCCGGCUCUUGGCUGGAGGGUGGAGAGGGAGUGAAGACAGAGUAAUGGUCAGAUUAAUACCUUAUUACUACGAGUGGUGUAGUCUGUAUAUUUUAAUAUGCAAGUUGUAAAUUGAAGUACACAUUUUUACUUUCUUAUUUAUUCUUAAUAUAUUUUAGUUUAUUCAGUCUUUUAUUUUUUAAUAUUUUAAUUCUAUGUUGUAUUUACUUUUUAUUUAAUCUAAUACAAAUCCACUGUCAAAAAGCCACAUUUCUCCUAGCAUAAAAAAAGUAUUCUGAUUGUGAUUUUCAAUUUGAAAGAAAAAUAUUGAAGGCUAUGUUUACAUUCACUGCAGUUAUUUACGAUUAAGUUGGUAUGUUAAUCUCUUCCAUGCGGCCAUUGACCUCCAUUCAUUUCAGUUUGGUAUGAAUAUCAAACUGUGUUUAAAUAGGUGUAAUGAUUACAAUGUUGGUGGUGGAAUAUUGUCUCCCUCAAUAUCCCUUUUGACACUACCACUGCAUAGGGCCACAGUUGGAAAAAAGUGACUAAUAUUUUAAGUGUAAACAUUGAGGAACGGUCUUUGGGUUGAUUAGUCAAUCAUCAAUGUGCUUUACUCUGGUGACUCUGCUGGUGUAUUAUUACAUUUUAUUUCACUCCUUUUUCUUAACCCCGUCAAUAUUAUCCACCACUGCUUCUAUUAUAUGUGUGCUGCUCUCUGCAAACAUCAGUGUCCACAGCUGUAAUAUGAAGGUUAAAUAAAGUAAAGCCUCAGCUGUAAAUAAAAAAACCCUUAAAUAUAGAAACUGGAAGGAUAACCAUUAGAAUGGAGAACUGAGGAGAACAUAAGAGGAGGUGAAAUCUUGCAUUGGAUACUGUCUCUGUUUAAUCUCACAAUCCUCUCCUUCCUUCCUCUGCCCUUUUUUGUUUUACAGCGGAGUCACUGAAUCACCAAAUCUCAUUUAAUAAAAAUGUCACUUUUUCAUUUGA